rnacentral:rRNA from 1 species
UACAGAGGUGGCAAGCGUUGUUCGGAAUUACUGGGCGUAAAGGGCGCGUAGGCGGUCUUGUAAGUCUUGUGUGAAAUCCCUCGGCUUAACUGAGGAACUGCACGGGAUACUGCGAGACUUGAGAUCGGGAGAGGGAAGCGGAAUUCCAGGUGUAGCGGUGAAAUGCGUAGAUAUCUGGAGGAACACCGGUGGCGAAGGCGGCAUCCUGGACCAACACUGACGCUGAGGAGCGAAAGCCAGGGGAGCAAACGGGG